GACGAACGCUGGCGGCGUGCCUAAUACAUGCAAGUCGAACGCAGUUGCGAACGGGUGAGUAACGCGUCGGUCACUGCCUAUUGGAGGGGGCUAACAAUUGGAAACGAUAGCUAAUACCGCAUACUAGUAGAUUGACCUGCGUUGUAUUAGCUAGUCGGUAGGGUAAUGGCCUACCUAGGCGACGAUACAUAGCCGAGUUUGGAGGGUGAUCGGGCACACUGGGAACGGGGAAAGGCCCAGGCUCCCACGGGAGGGAGGAGGAGGGGAACUUUGGACAUGGGGGGAAACCUGACCGAGCAACGCCGGGUGGGAGAAGAAGGGUCUCGGAUCGGAAAGCUCCGUUGUGAAGGAAGCGGUACUUAAACAGAAAGGGACGGCUAACUACGUGCCAGCAGCCGCGGUAAUUC
rnacentral:rRNA from 1 species